UCUUCUGCAUCUUUAAACAUCUCUUGUUGGUUCCUAGUAGAUAUGUAUUAAUUACAAGAAAUAAAUAUUACAAUAAAAAUAAGACAAGCCUACAGUUUAAUUGACUGAUAAAGGAUACUCACAAUGAGUCCAGCAGCAACAUCAUUUACAGGAGUACCAUCCUUUCUCGUACGAGUCUUGGCCCACAUGCAGAGGUGGCUUAAUUUUUUUUCUAUCCUUUUGAACUGAGUAUACAACAUAAAAAAAGAUUAAAUGAACACAAUAGACAUAUUCCUCAAAGCAAGCACUUAAAGAAAUUUAGAUGGGUUUUACUUGUAGGUGAUUGAUUUGCGUGAAGCUCCUUGUUCUUGCGCAAUGGAGGUACUUGUACUUCUUCUUGCAUUCAAUGUUGGUAUCUGUCCUAUUCU
rnacentral:lncRNA from 1 species